GAAAUGCGAUAAGUAAUGUGAAUUGCAGAAUUCAGUGAAUCAUCGAAUCUUUGAACGCACAUUGCGCCCUUUGGUAUUCCAAAGGGCAUGCCUGUUCGAGCGUCAUUUGUACCCUCAAGCUUUGCUUGGUGUUGGGCGUCUUGUCUCCAGUUCGCUGGAGACUCGCCUUAAAGUAAUUGGCAGCCGGCCUACUGGUUUCGGAGCGCAGCACAAGUCGCGCUCUCUUCCAGCCAAGGUCAGUAUCCACAAAGCCUUUUUUCAACUUUUGACCUCGGAUCAGGUAGGGAUACCCGCUGAACUUAAGC
rnacentral:misc_RNA from 1 species